AACGAACGCUGGCGGCAUGCCUAACACAUGCAAGUCGAACGAGACCUUCGGGUCUAGUGGCGCACGGGUGCGUAACGCGUGGGAACCUUCCCUUAGGUUCGGAAUAACUCCCCGUAAGGGGUGCUAAUACCGGAUAAUGUCUUCGGACCAAAGAUUUAUCGCCUUUGGAUGGGCCCGCGUUGGAUUAGAUUGUUGGUAGGGUAAAAGCCUACCAAGGCGAGGAUCCAUAGCUGGUCUGAGAGGAUGAUCAGCCACACUGGGACUGAGACACGGCCCAGACUACUACGGGAGGCAGCAGUGGGGAAUAUAGGAAAAGGGGCGAAAGCAUGAGAAAGCAAUGACGGGUGAGUGAUGAAGGGAUUAGGGUUGUAAAGCUCUUUUAAACGGGAUGAUAAUGACAGUACCGGGAGAAUAAGCACCGGCUAACUCCGUG
rnacentral:rRNA from 1 species